rnacentral:rRNA from 1 species
GACGAACGCUGGCGGCGUGCUUAACACAUGCAAGUCGAACGGAGUGGCGAACGGGUGAGUAACACGUGGGUGAUCUGCCUUGCACUUCGGGAUAAGCUUGGGAAACUGGGUCUAAUACCGGAUAGUGCAAGAUGAGCUCGCGGCCUAUCAGCUUGUGGGUGGGGUAAUGGCCUACCAAGGCGUGGCCGGGUAGCCGGCCUGAGAGGGUGGACGGCGACAUUGGGACUGGGAUACGGCGCAGAGGACUACGGGGGGCAGCAGGGGGGAAUAUGGCACAAUGGGCGGAAGACUGAUGCAGCGGCGCCGAGUGGGGGAGGAAGGACUUCGGGUUGUAAACUCCUUUAGACAGGGACGCGGUACCUGGAUAAGAAGCACCGGCUAACUACGUGCCAGCAGCCGCGGUAAUAC